rnacentral:rRNA from 1 species
GUUCUGACGGUACCGGACGAAUAAGCCCCGGCUAACUACGUGCCAGCAGCCGCGGUAAAACGUAGGGGGCGAGCGUUGCCCGGAUUUACUGGGCGUAAAGCGCGCGUAGGCGGCUGCGUAAGUGGGGAGUUAAAGCCCUCGGCUCAACCGAGGAAAUGCUCCUCAAACUGCGCGGCUUGAGUGUAGGAGAGGGGAGUGGAAUUCCCGGUGUAGCGGUGAAAUGCGUUGAUAUCGGGAGGAACACCAGUGGCGAAGGCGGCUCCCUGGCCUACUACUGACGCUGAGGCGCGAAAGCGUGGGGAGCGAACGGGAUUAGAUACCCCGGUAGUCCACGCCGUAAACGAUGAGCGCUAGGUGUUGGUGGUCUCGACCCCACCAGUGCCGCAGCUAACGCAUUAAGCGCUCCGCCU